GACGAACGCUGGCGGCGCGCCUAACACAUGCAAGUCGAACGAGCGAGAGAGAGCUUGCUUUCUCGAGCGAGUGGCGAACGUAGUGAGUAACGCGUGAGGAACCUGCCUCAAAGAGGGGGACAACAGUUGGAAACGACUGCUAAUACCGCAUAAGCCCACGGGUCGGCAUCGACCAGAGGGAAAAGGAGCAAUCCGCUUUGAGAUGGCCUCGCGUCCGAUUAGCUAGUUGGUGAGGUAACGGCCCACCAAGGCAACGAUCGGUAGCCGGACUGAGAGGUUGAACGGCCACAUUGGGACUGAGACACGGCCCAGACUCCUACGGGAGGCAGCAGUGGGGAAUAUUGCACAAUGGGGGAAACCCUGAUGCAGCGACGCCGCAUGGAGGAAGAAGGUCUUCGGAUUGUAAACUCCUGUUGUUGAGGAAGAUAAUGACGGUACUCAACAAGGAAGUGACGGCUAACUACGUGCCAGCAGCCGCGGUAAAACGUAGGUCACAAGCGUUGUCCGGAAUUACUGGGUGUAAAGGGAGCGCAGGCGGGAAGACAAGUUGGAAGUGAAAUCUAUGGGCUCAACCCAUAAACUGCUUUCAAAACUGUUUUUCUUGAGUAGUGCAGAGGUAGGCGGAAUUCCCGGUGUAGCGGUGGAAUGCGUAGAUAUCGGGAGGAACACCAGUGGCGAAGGCGGCCUACUGGGCACCAACUGACGCUGAGGCUCGAAAGUGUGGGUAGCAAACAGGAUUAGAUACCCUGGUAGUCCACACCGUAAACGAUGAUUACUAGGUGUUGGAGGAUUGACCCCCUCAGUGCCGCAGUUAACACAAUAAGUAAUCCACCUGGGGAGUACGACCGCAAGGUUGAAACUCAAAGGAAUUGACGGGGGCCCGCACAAGCAGUGGAGUAUGUGGUUUAAUUCGACGCAACGCGAAGAACCUUACCAAGUCUUGACAUCCUGCGACGCACAUAGAAAUAAGUGUUUCCUUCGGGACGCAGAGACAGGUGGUGCAUGGUUGUCGUCAGCUCGUGUCGUGAGAUGUUGGGUUAAGUCCCGCAACGAGCGCAACCCUUACUGUCAGUUACUACGCAAGAGGACUCUGGCAGGACUGCCGUUGACAAAACGGAGGAAGGUGGGGAGGACGUCAAAUCAUCAUGCCCUUUAUGACUUGGGCUACACACGUACUACAAUGGCGUUAAACAAAGAGAAGCAAGACCGCGAGGUGGAGCAAAACUCAGAAACAACGUCCCAGUUCGGACUGCAGGCUGCAACUCGCCUGCACGAAGUCGGAAUUGCUAGUAAUCGUGGAUCAGCAUGCCACGGUGAAUACGUUCCCGGGCCUUGCACA
rnacentral:rRNA from 1 species